rnacentral:rRNA from 1 species
GACGAACGCUGGCGGCGUGCUUAACACAUGCAAGUCGAACGGAAAGGCCCUGCUUUUGUGGGGUGCUCGAGUGGCGAACGGGUGAGUAACACGUGAGUAACCUGCCCUUUACUUUGGUAUAACUUCAUGUAACUUGGUCUAAUACCGGAUAGGAGCUCCUGCUGCAUGGUGUGUGUUGGAAAGUUUCGGCGGUUGGGGAUGUACUCGCGGCUUAUCAGCUUGUUGGUGGGGUAGUUGCUUACCAAGGCUUUGACGGGUAGCCGGCCUGAGAGGGUGACCGGCGACAUUGGGACUGAGAUACGGCCCAGACUCCUACGGGAGGCAGCAGUGGGGAAUAUUGCAAAAUGGGCGGAAGCCUGAUGCAGCAACGCAGCGUGCGGGAUGACGGCCUUCGGGUUGUAAACCGAUUUCGAAUGUGACGAAGCGUGAGUGACGGUAAUGGGUAAAGAAGCACCGGCUAACUACGUG